rnacentral:sRNA from 1 species
UGGGGAGAUAUUCUUUGUGAGAAUCUAGUGGUUGAAGCAGAAAAGUUUUUCUGUCCUUUUAAGGACUGUUCAGCUCUGUUGAUGCGUGAUGGUGAAGAAGUUGUGACUUCAUCAGAGUGUCCACAUUGCCACAGACUGUGCUGCGCACAGUGCAGGGUUUCGUGGCAUGCAGGAAUGGACUGUGAGGAGUUUCAGAGGUCGAAAAGAGAGAAAGGAGAGAAUGGAGACUCGAUGGUGACGAAGCUUGCAAAGAAGAAAGGUUGGAGAAAAUGUCCAAAUUGCAGUUUUUAUGUAGAAAGAAUUGCAGGAUGCUCACGUAUAACUUGCAGAUGUAAUCAUAAAU